AGUGAACGCUGGCGGUAGGCCUAACACAUGCAAGUCGAACGGCAGCACAGUAAGAGCUUGCUCUUACGGGUGGCGAGUGGCGGACGGGUGAGGAAUACAUCGGAAUCUACUUUUUCGUGGGGGAUAACGUAGGGAAACUUACGCUAAUACCGCAUACGACCUACGGGUGAAAGCAGGGGAUCUUCGGACCUUGCGCGAUUGAAUGAGCCGAUGUCGGAUUAGCUAGUUGGCGGGGUAAAGGCCCACCAAGGCGACGAUCCGUAGCUGGUCUGAGAGGAUGAUCAGCCACACUGGAACUGAGACACGGUCAAGACUCCUACGGGAGGCAGCAGAGGGGAAUAUUGGACAAUGGGCGCAAGCCUGAUCCAGCCAUAGCGCGUGGGUGAAGAAGGCCUUCGGGUUGUAAAGCCCUUUUGUUGGGAAAGAAAAGCAGCAGGUUAAGACCCCGCUGUUCUGACGGUACCCAAAGAAUAAGCACCGGCUAACUUCGUG
rnacentral:rRNA from 1 species